rnacentral:lncRNA from 1 species
UGGGGAAGUGUAUCUAUUACUCACAGUUCCCAAGAGGAGGGGCUUGCCAGGCCUCUCAGGGAUGCACAGAGAAGUGCCAAUGUCACAAAGGAGAGGGGGUGAUGAGGAAAUAGGAAGAAAAUACCAUUUACAGUUACAAUUAAAAAAUAAAAUAUCUGGGAAUAAAUUUAAUCAAUGAUGUGAAAGCCCAUACACUAAAAACUAUAAGGCACUGUUGAAUGAAAUUGAAGAAGACAUAAAGAAAUGGACAUAUAUUCUAAGCUCAUGGUCUGCAAGAACUAACAUAGUUAAAAUGUCCAUAUUACAUAACACAAUCUUCAGGUUCAAUGAAACCCCAAAGAAGAAUCCCAACAACAUUUUUCAUGGAAAUAAAACAAAGAAUCUUAAAAUUUAUAUGGAACAGGAAAAGACCCUGAAAGCCCAAAGCAAUCCUAAGAAAAAAGAACAAAGCUGGAGUUAUCAUACUCCCUGAUUUCAAAACCUACUACAAAGCUAUAGUUAUCAAAACAGCAUGGAACUGGCACAAAAACAGACACAGAUUGAUGGAAGAGAAUUGAGAGGCCAAAAAUUAACCCACACAUCUGUGGACAGUUAAUUUUCAACAAAGGAGCAAAGAAUAUGCAAUGGAGAAAGGAAAGUCUUUCCAAGAACUUUUGAUCUUUGAAUAUGUUAUUUUAUAGCAAAGAGAGUUUAAGGUAGCAAGUUGGAUAAGGUUGCUAAUAAACUGACCUUAAAAAUAUUAGCAUUGCUUUGCAGGUGGAACUAACUUAGUCACACGGUUCUUUAAAUACAGAAGAGAGAGACAGAAGAAUUAAAGUGAGAGAGAGACUUGAAAUUGUUUAACUGCUGGUUUUAAAGUUAAGGGAAGAGCCAUGAGCCGAGGCAUGCGGGUGGCCGCUAGACCUGGAAGAGAAGAGCAGUCUGAUUCUCACCUGGAGCCUCCAGAAGGAACCAGGAUGUGCAGACCUCGUUGUUUUACGCCAGUAAGACUCCUUUCAGGCUUCUGACAUCCAGGAUUGUAAGACGAAAUUUUGUUGUUGUUGUUAAAUUGACUAGUGUGGUAAUUUUUUAUAGCAGCAAAAUAAAUCUAAUACGUUCAUUUAUCUGAUGAAAUUUUGUUUAAGGAACCUGAAUUUAAGCCUCUCAAUUUAUUUAGCCUCCUUCGGGUAAAUCAUUUGGUGUUGGUUUUCCUCCUCAAGUAGAAGUAGAAAUCUAAAAUCAGUUUGGAGAUAUUGAUCCUCAUUAUCUGAUUCAGAGAAUUUCAUAUUUUAGAAACGAAAAUGUGGUUCUGACUUUGAGGUUUGUGAGACACUAAGAUAGAAAAAGUAAUUCAUUUUUAAAUUUUGGGUCACCUAGUCUACUUUAAAUCCUGGAUCUAAAUUUCUACAUUUCUUUAAUGUCAUGUUAAUUUAAAUGUUCAUCCUUUCAUUCCUAUACCCUCCAAUUUUCUUUCAAGUUGCCAGUAAGCAUUAAAGAAGGGAUAAUACAUGCACCUGGGUAUGUACAUAUGUGUGCAUGUGGUUAUUUGAAAGACAAUAUGUACAAACACACCCCUACAUGAAGACACAUCUUCCUCUUGAACAUUUUCUUGGGACUCAACAAAGUAUUUCCACAAAUUUCGUUUACUUCUUUAAACAUUUACCUAAAGUUAUAUUUAUUAUCUCAUAUUACAUUGAGAAAAGAGGAAAUUGAAGCUAGGGAGUUUAAAAUUUUAGGAAUUACGUGAUGACAUUGAAAGCUUACUGUGCAUACUCUUGGAUAUAUGCAAAAAGAGUCAGGCACUAAGUGCUGUCCUCUUUUGUAUGGCUAGUUCAAAUCUGCAAAUUACACAUUUUAUUUAAUUUUAUCUUUUUCCAGCUCUAUUGAGAUAUAAUUGACAUGUAACAUUGAGUAGGGGUACAAUGUUAUGAUUUGAUAUAGACACAUUAUGCAAUAUGAUUGCCACAAUAAGGUGAGCUAACACCUCCAUCACCUCAGGGACUCAGUCUUUUCUCUAUGGGUUAGAACAUUUAGGAUAUAUUCUCUUCACAACUUUUAGGUAUGUAGUACACCUUGGCUCACUAUAGCCUCGAUGCUGUAAAUUAGAUCCUUAAAAUGUAUUCAUUUUAUAGCUGAAAGUUUGAGCAUGAGUAUUCUACUUAUUUGCAUUUGUUUAAUUUUUUAGAUUCCACAUACAUGUGAUAUCAUACAGUAUUUUCUUUUGCUGUCUGACAUUUCACAUAGAAUAAUAUCCUCAAUGUGCCUCCAUGUUGUUGCAAAUGGCAGGAUUGUCUUCUUGUGGCUGAAUAAUUUUCCAUUAUAUAUAUUUAUACACAAACACACACAUAUAAAUGUAUGUAUAUAUAUCACAUUUUCCUUAUUCAUUCAUCCAAUGAUGGACACUUAGGUAUUUUCUAUGUUGUAGAUAUUGUGAAUAAUGCUGCAAUAAACAUGGGGGAGCAGACAUCUCUUUGGGAUUGCAAUUUAGUUUCCUUUGGAUAUGUACCCAGAAGUGGGAUUGCAGCAUCACACGGUAGUUCUAUUUUUAUUUUUAUUUUUUUGAGAAAUCUCAUACUGUUUCACAUAGUGGCUGUAUCAAUUUACCUUCUAACAAACAGUGCACAAAAAGUUUACUUUUCUCCACAUCCUUGCCAACAGUAUUUAUCUCGAGGAUUUCGGAUAAUAGACAUUCUAACAGGCGUGAAGUAAUAGCUCAUUGUGGUUUUGAUUUACAUUUCCAUGAUGAUUACUGACGUUGAGCAUCUUUUCAUGUAACUUCUGCAUUUAUGUGUCUUUUUGGAAAAAUGUCCAUUCAGUUCCUCUGUGCGUUUUCUAAUUGGAUUAUUUGUGUUUUGCUAUUAAUUUGUAUGUUUCUUAUAUGUUUUGGUUAUUAACCCCUUAUCAGAUCCAAAGUUUGAAAAUAUUUUCCCAAAGUCCAUAUGCUACCUUUUCAUUUUGUUGAUUGUUACUUUUGCUGUGCGAAAGAAUUUUAGUUUGAUGUUGUUCCACUUGUUUACAUUAACUUCUGUUGCUUGUGUUUUUGGUGUCAUAUCCAAAAAACUAUGGCUCAAACCAAUGUCAAAGAGAUUUUUUCCCUAUAUUUUGGUCUAAAUUUGUUAUGGUUUCAGAUCUUAUGUUAGAGUUUUAAAUCUAUUUGGAGCCAGUAUUUGUGAGAGAUGUCGGAUAGGAGUCCAAUUUUAUUCUUUUGCAUGUGACUAUCCAGUUUUCCCAGCACCAUUUAUUGAAGAGACAGUCCUUUCCUCAUUGAUUAUUCUGGCUCUCUUAUAAAUGUAGUGGCCCAUAUACACAUGGGUUUAUUUCUGGGCUCACAAUUGGGUUCUAUUUGUCUAUGUUGCUCUUUUUAUGUCAGUACUAUACUGUUUUUCUUUUUACUAAUAAUUUUUAUUGAGUUUAUGAUAGUUUACAAUCUUGUAAAAUUUUAGCUGUAGAUUAUUGUUUGUCAGUCACGUUGUAGGUGCACCCCUUCACCCUUUGUGCCCACCCCUCCUUUCCUCUGUUAGCGACUAAUCAGUUCUCUUUGUCUAAAUGUUUAAAUUCCACAUAUGAGUGAAGUCAUAUAGAGAUUGUCUUUCUCUAUCUGGCUUAUUUCACUUAACAUAAUUCAUUCAAGGUCCAUCCUUGUUGUUAUGAAUGGGUCAAUUUUAUUCUUUUUUAUGGCUGAGUAGUAUUCCAUUGUAUAUAUAUACCAUAUCUUCUUUAUCCAAUCAUCAGUUGAUGGGAACUUAGGUUGCUUCCAUGUCUAGGCUAUUGUAAAUAACACUGCAAUGAACAUAGGGGUGCAUGGGACUUUUGGCAUUGCUGAUUUCAAGUUCUUUGGAUAGAUAACAAGUAGUGGGAUGGCUGGGUCACAUGGGAUUUCUAUUUUUAAUUUUUUGAGAAAUCUUCAUAAUGUUUUCCAUCGUGGCUUCACCAGUUUGCAUUCCCAUCAGAAGUGUAGGAAGGUUCAAUAAAGGGCAUUUUUAAGGGGCACAAAAACUGCUUCAACCUAGAUGAGGAAAGAACUAGUGAAAUUAAAGAUAGAACAAUAGAAAACACACAAAAUUACAUGCAAAGAAUAAAAACGAUCAAAGAAACCAUCAAAGAGUUGGGUACCAAUAUCAAAUAGUAAAAAAUACUAUAAUUUGAAACUCAGAAGCAAAAGAGAAGGAGGUUAGGGCAGAGGGAAUAUGUGUAGAGAUAAUGCCUAAGAACAUUCCGAAAUUAAAAAAGAUACCCAACACAAAUCAAGAAAGCUCAGAAAAUACCAAGCAGAAAGAAAACCUACACACACACACAAUAAAACGCAAAAGAACAAAAGUAAAAGAAAAAAUAUUGAAUACAAGAAUCAUCAUAUAUUGAACAGGGCUUUUCAACCUCAGAAAUAUUGGCAUUUUGCACUGGGUUAUUUUUGUUGUGAGGCACAUUCCUGUGCAUUGUAUGCUGCUUAGCAGUGUCUGUGACCUCUUCACUAUUGAUGCCAGCAGUACUCCCUUGCAGUUGGGAAAAUUAAAGACAUUCCAUGUGUUGUCAGAUGUCCUCUUCAUGCUUGUUGGGAUGGGGAGGAUGCAAUUGAGUAUAAAACCGAUUCUACUUUAGAACAGCUGAUCUAAAGGAAAAAGCUAAGCAUUAUAGCACAUUUCAUUGCAGAAAAUGUGAAAGUCAGAAUAAAUGGACAGAAAGUUGAAAAUGUGAAAGGGGAAACAACAAAAAAAUCAGUCACUCCAGAAUGGUAUACACGUGAAAAUAUCUUUCACAAAUGGCAGACAAAACAACUUUUUUUGAGACUAACAGAAACUGACAGAAUUUAUUACCUGUAGGCAUGUAUUGCUAGAAAUAUUAAAAUAAGUUAUUCAGGGAGAAGGAAAAUACUACCAGACAGGAAAUUCAAGCUACACAAGGAAAUGAACACUGGUAAUUGCACAAUGAAUAAAUGUAUUUUUUUCUUAUUUUUAUUGUUCUAAAAGGCAUCUGAUUGUCUGAAGGGAAAAAGUAGCAUAAAAUGAGAUUUACAGAGUCUGUACAAGUAAAAUAUAUAAUAGUAGCAUGAUAAGAGAACCUGUAAGUUUACUGUUCUUUAAGUCCAUAGAAGACCUAUAAUUUAUUUUAAAAAGGUCUUUGUAAGCUCUUAGAAAACCAUUUUGAUUUUAAAGAAAUAAAAAUAUGAAGUCAAUAGAGGAGG